rnacentral:lncRNA from 1 species
GCUGUUACUCAGAGACUGUUGAGGCUAGUGAGAAGUCUCUGUGGAGGUUUCUGGAGAGUGUGGCUGCUUGUCCUUAGUGGCUGAUCCUAUCCUGAUUCCUAUUCUGAUUCCUAUCCUGCCUGCUGUCUGGUGUGCUGUAUUUCCUUGAAGAAAAACCCUGUGAUCCUAAACCACCUGUCUACAGGAAUUCCUGUCAUAAUGUGAGCUGCCAAGUGCCAACCCAUUCUGAGAUGCAUCCAAGCAUUUGAGUUGGUUGCUUAAUUCAUUCAUCUGCUCUUUCUCUAUUUUAUGGAUGUAUAUAUUUAGAGAUACCAAUUUUCCAAAGUGUAGUUGUGGCUACAUCCAGUAAUUUUUUGAUGACCAUCACUGCAGUUUCCAAAUCUUUGCCACCACAGAAGAGCAACUUGAUUCAAAUGAAUAUGCUAAGGAUCAGAGAAGCAAAUUAUGGCUAAUUACCUGAAGUCGCACAGCUAGUGAAUAGCAGAGCUGAGAAUUCACCUUGAUCUUUCAACUUCAAGAUUGGGACACUCCUGCUGCUCUAAACCAUGUUUCUUAAAGGAGGUAUGUUUUAUAUCUUUAAUAUUAUAAAAGAAGUUCUAAUGGAUGUCAAAAGAAGUGAUAAAUUAGUUUAAAGGGUGUUGCAGGCUACAGAUUCAGUACUUGGGACUUUCAAAAAAAGAUACAUUGUCAGUAUGGCCAGCUAAUAAUGAAGUUCUGCUCUUCUUCCCUCAGUGCCCAGAUUAGUCCCAAAACAUGGUUCAGUGAAUAUCAGCACAAGUUUUCUCUUCCCAGGGAAUUAACUCUUGGAGGAGAUAGGUUGAAUCCAAAUGUAAGAAAACUUAGGAAGUAAGGGGAAUAUAAAGAAGUUUUGAAAAUAAAACAGCUAGAAAACAGUGGGUAAGUUGAUAG